rnacentral:lncRNA from 12 species
AAGUCCAGAUGAAAGCCAAUGCUAACUGCCAGAUAGCAAUGUCUUCAAGAACAGAGAAGAAGCAAUUUGACCUUUAUUUUGGAAAAGGACAGUGGUGGGGGUGGUAUCCUUCUAUAUGGUGA